GUGAGUUGUAUGCCCAUAUAUUGUAACAAAAGAUCAGUCAGAUGAAGGCAGUCUGACUGAGGUACGUAGAUAAUUUAAAUAAUGUCCAUACAUAUGAUGAUCCGAGUGUUUUUGGCUCACUGACAUGCAUAUACACUGACAGCAUCCACAACUAGAAGACAUUACCAGAAUCUAAGUGCUGUGAAGUAAUAUUUUAUUUUUCUGAAUGUAUAUCUUUUUUUCUUAACGAAAGCCCGCAUUUGUUCGGGGCAAUGUCUCUUGAACUAGCGUUCCUGAUGGCGUUACCGUUGCUGGUAAAUGUAAAUUUUGUACGUUAGUGACUCCCCUGCACAAUACUACGUUACACCAACUUAAAGAAAUCAGCAACUAAAUUAUUGAAUCACUGAAACGUCAAUAAAAAAGUCGACGACUCCGACGAAUUGUGCAGCGCAGCACUAUAAACCAUAGCUCCACAAACACAGAAGCACUUUGCACGUACUGUGGGCAGCAGAUAGCAGAUGUUUGUUUACUGCACAUAACAUUUUCCCACAAGCUACACAGCAGCAGUAAAAUGGAAUCUGACGUGACUCAGGGAUUCCAGGACACUUCAAAAAAUAUUGAAACUGCCCAUGGUAUCUCUUUGAAACCGCUGAACAGGCAAUGCGCUACAUAUUAGGCACACCUGUAGCUCAGUAGCAAAGGCACUGAUAAAAUGUUUGCAAAAAGAACUGCGAUUUUCAACACACACAUCACAAAAUACGACACUCGUCGCUGCAACAACGAUGGCGAUGGCAUGAUGAUGAUGAUGUUGGUGUCACUUCCGCUGGAUUGGCAUAUGUGUUAUUUAACAUUUAACCUCCACCACCCAAUUAUAAUGAACGCCACGGAAAUUAAAGUAUUACAAAAAAUAAGUACUCAAAAAGCACGAGCUAAAGCAAUGGCAAUGACGUCUGCCCGUCUACCCAAUCACCAUCCACCAUCCAUCCAUCCAACCAGUUCGAACCAGUUCAGUUUCAACGGUUGAAACAUCAAACUUUCCGGACGCGCAACGGGUAGCAGUUGGGGUCUUCGCGGCUGCAUUCCACUGGUUGUUAUACGAAAAUCUUUCGAAGUUCUAAUCUCCCGCGCGUUUUGUCUUGCAAUUUUUGAGCAUAGCGAGAACGUACGCCGUGCUGUCCAGUGAUAAAAGCUGUUGAGCGCAGCAGAGCUCGCAGAGUACUGUGGUGGACAACGUUUCUUUGUUCUCUGGCUUUCAAGUUUAAGGGGUGCUUGGACUAUCUUGCAUCGGUGGAUAUGAAAAUAGUGGUAACCUACCCUACGAAACAGCUAUUUGCACAUAAGCUUAACAGUUCCCUGUCAGAUGCUGUGAAAGUCAGCAGGGAAGUGCGAUGUAGAAGAAACGACUGCCAGAAGCUUGCUAAAGGACCGCACAACAUGUGUGAGCAGCAGACAAAAUAUUCAUCAAACGGUACAAAACUAGUAUUUUUGUGCUUUGUCGUUUUGAGACAUCCUUGGUAUUGUAUGGAGAACAGCGUGACUAUGUCAUUCCGUCUUACUUCACCCAAACAGCUAUCUGGUAGUAGUGCAAGAUUUGAGUUCCUAAAAGGUUUAUUCACUGAAGUCACCUCAGCGCCAUACUAUAGGUCCCUCAAUGUUUAGUCCUUGCAUUUGUUCGCUGCAUUAUGCUUUUUAGGUGACUAUUAACACCAAAAAAUAUGGAAAUUGCUUGGAUAUUCUACAAAUCACAGAGCAACAAGUUUUAAACACCAGAUAUGCGGUGAGUAUAAUAUGGGUAACAGCUUGACUGAAAUCUACAAUAGGGCCGAGAUCUACCAAGGCCGAUGGCAGCAAAUCUGCCUGCUGGCGACAGUGGCGGUCUCCUGCGGAUGACGUCAUGUGAAUAAACUUGUAUACUACUUGUACGUACUUAUAAUAUUUGACGUGGUGAUACAGCUCUUGCUUUGUAUUGUCUUUUAUAAUAUACACAGUGUUUAUUUUUAUCCACAGUGAGUCAUUGGGGGCAGUGCUACAGCACCAACAAUCACUCGUUGGAAGAAAGGAAUGAGGUGGCCAUCAACACCCUGCUGCCAGUUCAACACUCCUCAGUCAAAACACAAGACGCCUGCUUGGCGGCAAAGUCAAUCCAGUUUUAGACAAGAGUUUUGUACCGUAGACUUCGUGUGUGGUUUACAGCGAAUAAAUGUUUAUGCUGAGAUCCGUGUUGCUAUCAAUUAUAUCAUAUUUCUGCAUGAAUGCAUGCCAGGACGGUAGCAGGACUAGUCAUGGUCUAAAGUAGGUCUAAAGGUGGCUAAAGUAGGGUACAGGAAAUGUAUAACCCUAGACCUGUCGCCUGAAUGGAGGGAUAAAAUUGGUCUAGCUGUAGACUUCAUGUCUAAUACAUGGUUAAGUGUCUGACCCUGUUCCAGACAUCCAGGUCAAAAGAGUGUCUAAAUCAUGGCUAGGUACAUAGACAUCGGAUGUCUAGGGCUAGAUGGCUAGGUGGCGUAACGUUAGACGUGUUAUUUGACGUCUAGUGGAGGGAUACUAGACAUUUGGUCUAAUUGCGUAGACAUUCUAUAGACAUUCCUUAUCUCUUUUUUUAGACGUCAUUUAGACGUUUACUAGCCCACCAUGUGCUCCCUGGGAAGUUCUGGGUAAUACAUCGAAAAAGUAUCGUCUAUGUGCAGCUGGGCAUUGUGUACCUGACUUUUAAACGAUCCACAUCUGUACUGCAUUAUAUGUCAAUAUACAUGCACAUACACAACACAAACUACAUUUAAAGGCAAGAGAUGUAAAAUUUCCGGAAAUUGUGAAUGACAAAAAAAAAUUAAAAAAUAAACGUUUGUGCAUACUUUUUUAUUAAAAAGUUUGCAGUUUUGGAAAAAGAAACAAAAAAGUUUGCAGGAGACACCGUGACAGUGUAAGCGAGCGUGA